AAAAAAAGAAAAAGAAAAAAGACGAAAAAGAAUGGCCACAUUACCAAUUUGUUCGUCUUAUUUCCCUUAAGGGAGUUGAAUUGUUUGAUUAUCCUGAUAGUACUGUUGCGCCAAAUGCGUUUUCGUUACGAGGGAAAGAUUAUUCUUUUAAUUGUAGCACCUCCACGAAAGAAGAAAAAAUUUAUUGGAUUU
rnacentral:ribozyme from 1 species